rnacentral:miRNA from 1 species
UUAAUGCUGUUCAUGACUGGAGU